UACGUAGGGUGCGAGCGUUGUCCGGAAUUAUUGGGCGUAAAGAGCUUGUAGGCGGUUUGUCGCGUCUGCCGUGAAAAUUCGAGGCUCAACCUCGAACUUGCGGUGGGUACGGGCAGACUAGAGUGUGGUAGGGGAGACUGGAAUCCUGGUGUAGCGGUGAAAUGCGCAGAUAUCAGGAGGAACACCGAUGGCGAAGGCAGGAUCUCUGGGCAUUACCUGACGCUGAGGAGCGAAAGCGUGGGGAGCAAACAGG
rnacentral:rRNA from 1 species